UUCUUGAUAAUCAGACUAGAUUGCCUGUUAGGUUCAGGAUGGAAGGAUGAGUCUAUUGUAGCUGGCAGAUCAAUGUAGGAUGCCUCAUUUAGGGAGUCUCUUGAGCUUGAUGACAGUUCAAUGUGAUGCAUGAGAGAAGGAAGCCAUUUAUGCGGAGCUGUUCAUUGCACAGAAAGCCUGAUACAUGGUGGAUGAUCUUUUUCUGUGAUGAAGAUAUUAAGUUUGAAAAAAGUAACUAAAGAAAUAAACGAAAUCGCCUUGACGAUGAUUAUAUUUUUGCAUUUGAAGUAGCUGAUGAUGUUAACCAGGUCUUAAAUGAAAGGUCUCUUAGAGGCAAUGCCAAAGAAAUAUAUUUUGAGAACUUUUCCAGGUGCAAAACUCAGAGCAAGGCAUUGCGGAGUUAAAAUUUGUCUGGAGAUUCAGAAAAAUCUUCAUUAUCCAAGGACAUUCUGGAUGAAGACGAUCAUCUUAUGGAUUUCAAUAAACAGACUGAAAAUUAUGGUUCUGGCCUGCUAUCUUUUUGUUCAGAACUGUCUCCUCUGCCACCAGAUCCUUUGCUCGGGACCAGGUUUCAAGAUUUUAAUCCUUACAUCGCUUAAAUGGGAUUGAAACGUCUGUUAGACGUGAAGUUCUUGUCACAUACAAUCUAGGAAACAUGGAACAUAAUCUCUUGGUCCCUGCCAUAAAUAAUUUGGAAAAAGAGGACUGCUUGUUCGCAAAUCCUGCAAAGUUUGAUCUCAAUUUUUAUGCUCUUUCUAGAGAGGAUAUGGCCAGUAUAGGGGGACUUGAUUCGCGUGAUGUUUAUAGUUCAGGUCCUUAUGAAUUCUAUUAUGAUUGAGAUGAUUUGACACAUGUGCAUUCUUAUGGUGAAGAGAAUCUUAAGAAUUAUUUGAUACCAUGAGCUAUGCUCUCCUCUAGGGUGGAUCAGAACAUGCAUAAAUGGAUUGAUGAUGGAAAUCUAGGAAAAACAGAUGAGCUUACAGGUAGAAGAAGCCAUUCAGCUCCUUCAUUUUACCAACUCAAGAAGAGAAGUUCUUUGCCAAGAAAACUGGAGCUGCAAGGAGAUUGCAACAUUCUGCAGAAGUUAUCUGCUCGGAGCUUCCACAGCAGCCAUCCCAUCAAUGUGAUCAAUCUUCCACCCCAAGUUGUGGUGACGGUGUAUUCUCCGAUGAAGGACAAGUGUGAAAAUGAAACUAGUUAACAUCUGGAAUAACAAAUUACAAGCUAAAGGGGAGUGCACAAGUACACGCGAUGGAGAGUCAAAAGAAGAAUUUGCACCGACAAAAGUUUUUUAUAUUCUGGAACAAAAUGGAGGGACUUCCGUCCAAAUAUUACAAUUGAAGCGGUACUGGAACACAGAAUCUUAAGAAUCGAGAUACCAUACUCAAUGUCACUUCUGGCGUCUUGCAUUUUGUUGGUGAUUCCAUUGGUUCCUGAUACCAUAGAUUAAAACUGGCUGGAGUGUGCCAAAGUUCUCCAACAGGUUGAUAUGAAGUUUAUUCCGAUUGUGGCGAACACAACACUUGCUAUGAUUGAUCAGGAAUAUUCUGGCCACUGCAUAGUCCAUUAUGGCCAUUCUUGGUUUCUCAUGAAUUCCUUAUAAUGUAUUUAUUAUAAACAAUUGUUUCUCUUAGGGAUGGUUUGGUUGGACACAUUAGCAAAUAUAAAUCAGCAAAAACUUCCGCAUAAAUAGUAUAAUAUUUGUUGGCCGCUUAAGAAAAAGUAAUUUCCAAAUAACUAUGUAGCACUCAGUUAUCUGCAUUAUAUAGUCAAGGAUUAUGAUCUUUUGUUUGAUUCUAGCAUUUAUGUGCGUUGACCAUUACACUCAU